rnacentral:rRNA from 1 species
AUUGAACGCUGGCGGCAUGCUUAACACAUGCACGUCGAGCGAGCGGCGGACGGGUGAGUAAUGUCUGGGAAAUUGCCUGAUGGAGGGGGAUAACUACUGGAAACGGUAGCUACUACCGCAUACCAUCAGAUGUGCCCAGAUGGGAUUAGCUAGUAGGUGGGGUAAUGGCUCACCUAGGCGACGAGCCCUAGCUGUUCUGAGAGGAUGACCGGCCACACUGGAACUGAGACACGGUCCAGACGCCUACGGGAGGAAGCAGGGGGGAAUAUUGCGCAAUGGGCGAAAGCCUGAUGCAGCCAUGCAGCGUGUGUGAAGAAGGCCUUCGGGUUGUAAAGCACUUUCGGCGGUGAGGCGGUACUCGCAGAAGAAGCACCGGCUAACUCCGUGCCAGCAGCCGCGGUAAUUC